AGGACGGCGAGCUCCUGUUUUCAGCCUGCAGCCUCCUACACCUCAGAGCAGAGACGCAUUUCUGCAAUAUCGUGAAGCUCCAAUUGUCGCUCCACAGGCUUCUAAAUCUCAAAGCAGAGAGAAGGUUUUACAAUGUCGUGAAGCUCCAAUUUUCCCCUUACAGCCUCCUGAACCUCAGAGGAGAGACGAGUUUUUACAAUGUGAGUUUGUGCUUUGACUGAGUGGAUCAUCAGAAUAGAAAUCAUCUCUCACUUAAUAUCUCAUGGC